CGUAGGGUGCGAGCGUUAAUCGGAAUUACUGGGCGUAAAGCGUGCGCAGGCGGUUCUGAAAGUCAGCUGUGAAAGCCCCGGGCUUAACCUGGGAAUUGCGGUUGAAACUACAGGGCUAGAAUCUGGCAGAGGGGGGUGGAAUUCCACGUGUAGCAGUGAAAUGCGUAGAGAUGUGGAGGAACACCGAUGGCGAAGGCAGCCCCCUGGGCUGAGAUUGACGCUCAGGCACGAAAGCGUGGGGAGCAAAACAGGAUUAGAUACCCUGGUAGUCCACGCCCUAAAACGAUGUCAACUAGGUGUUGGGAGCGCAAGUUCUCAGUACCGCAGCUAACGCGUGAAGUUGACCGCCUGGGGAGUACGGUCGCAAGAUUAA
rnacentral:rRNA from 1 species